CGACGAGGAUGGGAUUUGAACCCACGCGGGCAGAGCCCCAUGGAUUAGCAGUCCAUCGCCAUAACCACUCGGCCACCUCGUC
rnacentral:tRNA from 1 species